GCCGGGAUACCUCAGUGGGUUAAGCAAAGGACUGAAAWUCCUCGUGUC
rnacentral:tRNA from 1 species